rnacentral:rRNA from 1 species
GACAGAGGGUGCAAACGUUGCUCGGAAUCACGUGGGCGUAAAGGGCGUGUAGGCGGGUAGGCAAGUCGGGCGUGAAAUCCCUGAGCUCAACUCAGGAACUGCACUCGAAACUGCUUAUCUUGAGUGCCGGAGAGGAAAGCGGAAUACCUGGUGUAGAGGUGAAAUUCGUAGAUAUCAGGUGGAACACCAGUGGCGAAGGCGGCUUUCUGGACGGUAACUGACGCUGAGACGCGAAGGCGUGGGGAGCAAACAGG